UACGAAGGUCCCAAGCGUUAUUCGGAAUCACUGGGCGUAAAGGGAGCGUAGGCGGCGUGGUAAGUCAGAUGUGGAAAUCCCCGGGGCUCAACCCCGGAACUGCAUCCGAUACUGCCAUGCUAGAGGAUUGGAGAGGUAGCUGGAAUUCGUGGUGUAGCAGUGAAAUGCGUAGAGAUCAAGAGGAACACUCGUGGCGAAAGCGAGCUACUGGACAAUUCCUGACGCUGAGGCUCGAAGGCUAGGGUAGCGAAAGGG
rnacentral:rRNA from 1 species